AGCGUAGACGGUGUGGCAAGUCUGAUGUGAAAGGCAUGGGCUCAACCUGUGGACUGCAUUGGAAACUGUCAUACUUGAGUGCCGAAGGGGUAAGCGGAAUUCCUAGUGUAGCGGUGAAAUGCGUAGAUAUUAGGAGGAACACCAGUGGCGAAGGCGGCUUACUGGACGGUAACUGACGUUGAGGCUCGAAAGCGUGGGUAGCAAACA
rnacentral:rRNA from 1 species